rnacentral:rRNA from 1 species
CCUACGGGGGACAGCAGUGAGGAAUAUUGGUCAAUGGACGAGAGUCUGAACCAGCCAAGUAGCGUGAAGGAUGACUGCCCUAUGGGUUGUAAACUUCUUUUAUAUGGGAAUAAAAUGUUCCACGUGUGGGAUUUUGUAUGUACCAUAUGAAUAAGGAUCGGCUAACUCCGUGCCAGCAGCCGCGGUAAUACGGAGGAGCCGAGCGUUAUCCGGAUUGAUUGGGUUUAAAGGGAGCGUAGGUGGAUUGUUAAGUCAGUUGUGAAAGUUUGCGGCUCAACCGUAAAAUUGCAGUUGAAACUGGCAGUCUUGAGUACAGUAGAGGUGGGCGGAAUUCGUGGUGUAGCGGUGAAAUGCUUAGAUAUCACGAAGAACUCCGAUUGCGAAGGCAGCUCACUGGACUGCAACUGACACUGAGGCUCGAAAGUGUGGGUAUCAAACAGGAUUAGAUACCCUAGUAGUC